AUCUGCUGAAUUAACAGAAAGCAGCUUUGGGCCGUGGAGAGUUAAUUGAAGUGAGAAGUGAGCAAGCAAGCAUUAAAGGAGUUUUUCAUUCCAAUCACAGGGGUCCCAUGGCAAGUUAAAAGUGCAAUUCUCGCUGUGUUGAAAUGACGGACAACGAGUUGGCUUAUUUGGAGUGCAUCCACUUGUUUGUGGAGAUACUGGAUCACUUUUUUAGUAAUGUCUGGGAGUUAGAUUUGGUUUUUAACUUUCACAAGGUAUAUCUAAUCUUAGAUGAAUUCGUUCUCGCUGGGGAGCUCCAAGAAACAAGUCAGAAGGCUAUCAUAGAGAGGUUGAAUGAAUUGUGGAGAAGUUGGAGUGAAGAUUGAUGAUCCAUGAUGGCCAACCUUCAUCCAUAUUC